CGUCUAAAUAUUGGAUAUUACCUCUGCGUUAAUAUUACAAACCUUUAAGGCUUUAUUAACCUACAGUCUAAAACCAAAAGUAUUUGAAAUACUUCAUAGUACUAGUAUUUACUUGAGUAGUAUUUUAAAUACUUUAAACAAAUUACCUAAGUACCUUUUUAACUAUUCCAAUACAUUAUAAAAGUAUUCAUUUAAUACUGGUAGGUACAUAAUAUGUCACAAUAUCAG